GGAGGCCGCUCGGGAGAACGAAGCCACGAAGGUGGCACAAUGGUGGUCAGCCUGGCAAAUGUUGUCACUGUGACAACAACGGGGAUGUUGGCCUCCACCUGUCUCCCCCUCACUGGUGGCAAGGCCACCAUAUCUGCCCGCCUAGACGCCUGGGGCGACUAACCUGGCUGAUGAUGGUGGCCUCCCUCUCUCCCUUCCCCUCCCACCCAACCGCCUAGACAUCAGGGGCGAUCGCCCUGGUGGGAGAUGGUGGCCUCCUCCUCUCCCUUCCGUUCCCAUCGCUAGCUAGGCGAUCAAAUCUGGGCGCUUAUAGGUCAGGGACCACCGGAUCAGGCCUCCUCUAACCUCACCGACCUGCCUUCCUUUGCCUUCUCGAUGUCCUUGGCAACCUUAACACCAGCACGGGCUACAGUACUUCCAUGAUAAGCAGCAGAGGUGGCAGUAUCCUCAGCCUCUGGCCAACAACGGUGGCGUCAUGGUAAUGCGAUGUGAUUCACCGCUUAUUCUGUUGUAUGAUAUUUAGAUUAUUUUAUUUUUGACUUGAAGCAUGUACUGGCGGUCCUUGUUCUUAUUAUGUUGUAUUUGUGAUUUAGUUCUUGUUCUUGAAUGGAUAUGUGGCGUCCUUGAGCUUGUUCUUGAAUAAGGACCAAUUAGAGUAUGGAUCAGGAUGUGGAUCACAGGGGCACUCAAAAGCAUCGACUCCAUGAAUUGAUUCUUCGAUCUGGUCUCUCUUUUUCGUUUCUUUUGGCUUUUGGGAAGGCACAUCAGUGUCAGCAGUGGCGGUGCUAACAAUUUUACCCUGUGGGAUCAAUUAAUUAUCAUUGCUUAAUAUUUUAGUAUGAUCAUUUACGUAAAAUUCAGUAAAUAUACAUAAAAAAAUUAGUACUCCCAAGGAUGUUAGUGAAAAAGCUGUACAGCUUAUGUGGCUCCGUCACUGGGUGCCGGUUUCUAAACCGGCAUUGAUGCCCCCUUAUCAGUGCUGGAAUCUAGUGUAUAAUUUGUACUAUAUAUGUGGAAUCUAGUGUUCCAAAGCCGGAAUCUAUCAUCAAAAUACUUGAAGCAUGUCUAGUGUAUUUAUAUUAUCUAUUUGUACAAACACAUUUAGAAAAAAAAAACUGAAUAGUUAAAUGAAUUAAAAGAAUCAAUUACGUUACAUGUUAAAAGGCAGAGGUAGAAAGUACGUUAAUUAACCACUACACACUUGCAAACAAAAGAAGAUACCACAUAUUAUUACACGCAUGCAUACCUAGAGCUAAUUAGGGUUAGCUUUACUCAUUAAUCGAUCUCUUCAGUUAACGCAUGCAGUAUAUAUGCAGCUAACUAUACCUAUAUACCUCUAUCAAUCGUACGUUCGUAUAGCGCAGUAGUAUAGUAGACAGCCUGUUCAUCGAUCGAUCGAUAUAUUGCACGCACGUGUCAGAAUAGGUUGCACACGUGAUGAAUUAGGCGUGACAGCUACCCACUUGUGUAGCUAGGACUUGUUUGGCACGUACUGUACUGUACUAUAAACAUAGGAGUCCUCUGUAGAUCCAGAGCUAAGCUAGGUGUUAUAUAUCCUCUGUACACGAUAUGAUCGAUCGUAUAUAUGCAUGCGUGCUACUUAAUUUGGCAUCUUGAUGUGAUUUGUACCAUCUUAUAUAUCAACUCCCUCCAAUUUUAAAUAUAUAUAAUGCCGUUAAACAAUUUAUCUUAUUCAAUUUUCUCUGCAAAUAUGUAAAAAAUAUAAACCAUGCUUUAAAGUAAUUAAUGAUGGAAAAACACCAGACUAAAACCCGAGACUAAAAAAACUGGGUCUGAGACCAAAUAAACCGAACUUUAGGUCAUUGGACUCUUGUUGGUCUGAGCCAACAAAAGAUCACCAAUGAAUGUUUGACAACCCCUCUACGACCCUCAUUCCCCUCCCUUAAAUCCUGUUGACCACUUUUGUCUUCUUUCUCCUGUUGAUCCCUUAAAUCUCGAUGGAGGCAUUUGCUUCUAUCCAUCCUCCAUCGAGGAACACCAAUCAAGCUCUGAUAGACUACCUUUGACUCGAUCUAUCCCCACCUCUAGGAGCAUCGGUUGUGCUAUAAGAGGAUGCUUUCAUCUGCCUCCGUUCCCCAUCCUCUGCGAGUGUACAAUAGUCCUGAAACCCUUCCUUUUCAGCAAGGCAACAGCUCUUCCAUUGCAUGCUUGCCCCCUUGUUGAGCCAUCUCCCACCUCUGUUUCCGUCUCUAUCCACCAUCCCCUACUAGGCCACUCUUAGUGUAGCCUUUCUCAGUUUAGACCGAAUACUAUGUCGAAACCGGUAUUUCGAGUACCGAGACCAUAAGUCCUAAAUCUCCGGUACCAAAUUCGUUUGUCAGUUUCAAAAGACAAGAGUUCUUUUUACCCAAAUUACCCGAAGACCAAAUGCCCACCCUUACUUAAAAUAUCUGUAAUGAUUAAAAAAAUCACAAUAUAAUAGAUGAUACUUACAUAGUAUUUUUAAAUAAAACAAACGAUCAAACAUAUAUCGAAAAGUCAAUAGCAUCCUAUAUUAAAAAACGGAUGAAUUAUAUAGAUAUCGACCAAUCAAACCAUUAUAGUUCAGAGUAUAUAUGUUAAUAUGUUAUUAGCUUUAUAUAUAGGUCCCAUCUGUAACCAGUUUUAUCCUUCAAUUCGCAUCUUCUUAAUUACUACUCUCUUUGUUCUAAAAUAUAAGAAUCUAAGAUUGGAUGAGAUAUUUUCUAGUACUACUAAUCUGGACAGGCAACUUGUCCAUAUUCGUAGUACUAGGAAAUGCCCUAUCUGGUACUAUGUUUUUAUAUUUCGAGAUAGAGGGAGUAGUUUAAUUUAGAAAUGAUAUCCCCGGAGAAAUAUGAUUAAAAUCAAGUAUAUUUCGUGAUUCCCAACUUUUACAUGUUAUGUGCAUUGGUGGUCAAAUUAUAUCGGAUUUGCUAACUAUGUUUCGGCAGGAAGUCGAUUGAGAAAAGAAAAAUCGCGAACGGCGUCGAGAGAGAAAUCUUGCACAGUAUCUUGCGAAUGCCUGCUUGCUGUGACUUGAGUGCCGAACAGGCCCGAUGGUAUGCUUCCACCACUCUGGGCUUUUUCAUCACAAAUCUAUCCAGCCCAUAAAAUUAGGCCCACGAAAUUGGGCCUAAACUACAGCCCAUCCAAAAACAGGGACUCAAAAUUAUGAUUUCUUUAAACAAAAUUUAUUUUCAGACCAGGAACACAUUCUCUAAUCAAUCAAUCAAUCAAUUAAUUAGUACUUAGUACAAACAAAAUUAUGACGAUUGCUUCUUUGCUCUCUCACUGCAUGCAGGCCCCACCUCUGUGGGACAAUGGACACGUGUCACCAGCACCUUAAAUGUACAGUCGACGACGUUUCUUUUGUUUUUUAAAAAAGAAAGAAGAAAACAUGCAUGUGUACACAAAACGACAACGCUAAGUUAGGCAAAUUAAGGCCAGUGAAGUAUAUACCAGUACAAAGGGUAGGUCCGUGCAGAGUGUGUCAUCUUCAGUAGCUCAGUUUGAAGACGAGCUUAAUUAAAUUGCAUAAUUGAGAUGUGAGACCUAACAACUUUGACUUAUUUGGCCAAUUUUGCAUCCGGCCAAAUUAACAACACAAGUAGUAGCUUGAUCCAUACAAAUCAUGAAAACUAUCUAGUUAUAUUAAACAAGCGAGAACAUGUUCCUAUUAUCUUGCUUAGUUAUAUAGUGUCUUGAACGGAAGAUUCAUACAUAUUCAUUUGAACAUUUAGGUUGUUUUGACUUAUUUGACAUAGGCUGAACAUUUUAAAAGAAAAAAACAUGUUCAUUUUAGCUACUUCGUUGGAUAAUUGCCACAAAUUAUUUGCUCCAUAAUUUGAAAAUAUAUUUUCUAAAAAGAAAUUAUUUUCAUGGAAUUGUUUAUACCAUGUUCUAAACUAUUUGUUAAGAUUAUUUUUUAUUUUUUAAUGAAGUAGAUAAUUCGUAGCAAUAAUUCUAGGCAGAACUCCCUUCUUUCUUUUUUCUUCCUUUUCAUUUUUUAAAGAAAAAAAUCGAACCGUUUUGCUGCCACCGUGGAACACUCACACUGUCACACAAAGAUCCAAAAGCAUGCAAAUUAGGAUGAGGUGUUCGGUAGCAAAUGGCAAUAAUUGAGGAAGGCACAUGUACACUUGCUCCCCUGAGGAUCGAACAGUAAAUCAAUCAAUCAGAUGGCCCGGCUGUAUGUCAUCUGCUCAAAAGGAAGCUAGGCAGACAGUAUGUCAUCUGUCAAAGCAUAUGCUAAGCUUCCCACAUUAUCUUAAUUAACUUUACUCCCCUCUACUAUAUUAUAUAUAAAGACAUUGUUAGCUUUAGCAUGAUAGCCUCUCAUCGUUUGUUUGGAUAUCAGAGGCUAAAGAAAUCGUUUGAGAAAAUAUAUUAAAAUUUCAAUUUAAGUUAAUUUAAGAUUUUCUUUAUCGUAGUUUAUUUAUCAGCAUUGUCUUGUCUCUUCAAACUACUAUUAACACACAUAUAUAAAAAGUGUUGUCCAUAAAUUUAUUAUUGCCAUGGAUGAAGCAAUCAGAUCCUAACUACUAGUCUUUAGGCCUUCUUAAUUUAUUAUUUUACAUGCAAGCAGAGAAUAGGGGAAGAAAAACAUAAUAGUAAAUAAAAAAAAUAAGUCAUGUGUUUGCUGGCAAAGCUCAGCUGUGAUAAGGUAGAGAGAGAGUGGAUGAUGCAUUAUUAUUGGCACAUGAAGAUGGUCAAUUGGGGGCGUAGAUUUAGGUGGUGUGGACACCUACCUACCUAGUAGUAGUACUGUCUAUGUAUGAAAGCUCAACCGGUGGGAGCUAGCUGAAGCUGAGGGUAGCGCAUCAUCCACCAACCUCAUGGUGCAACUUAUUUUUCAUAUGUACAGCCUAAAUUUUCCGUGCACUUUGAAACAGGCAAGAAAUGAUCGGAUCUUAAUGUUGUUUGAAAUAACAAUGUUAAAUUUUAUUAAACAUCAUAUGGUGUUAGCUCUUAUUGUUGUUAUUGUUGUAGUAAGAGCCUUUUCUACACAAGUUCAUUGUGAAUUAAUUCGUGCAUUGAAUUGCAUUACACGAUAAAAUUCAGGGAGUAAAUUACACUAGCGGUUCUUAAACUUAUAACGAAGUUUCACUUAGGUCCAUGAACUUGCAAAACACGCAUCGAGAUCCUUAAACUUGGUUUAAUGUAACAUCCGGGUCCAAAGUCUCGUUUGACUGUGGUCUUACCUACGUGGACGAUGACAUGGAAUUUUUAUUUUUUUUCUCCUUUCUUCCUUCUUUUUUUCUCCCUUCUUAUCCCUUUUUUUCUCCACUUUGCCUCCUUCCUCUCCCUUCUGCCGCAUUUUUCUCCACGCGAGGUGAGGAAGGAGAGAAAAGAUGGGAAGAAAAAAAGGGAAAAAGAAAAAUUAGCCAUGUCAUCGACCACGUGGCAUGACAUAUAGGCAAGAUCACGGUGUCAAACCAGACUUUGGACCAGGAUGACAUGGAAGUUUAAGGAUUUCGAUGCGCGCUUUGCAAGUUCGUGGACCUAAGUGAAACUUCAUUACAAGUUUAAGGACCGCUUGUGUAAUUUACUCAAAUUCAGGCAUAUUAAAAUUUUCUACGUGAACUAUCAUUUAUAAAUCAAAAGUAAAUAGAGAGCGACAUACAUAAAGGAUAAAAGUAUGUAAAUACAAAAAAUAAUCUAGAAGAUAACACGCAUAAUAUAUAGCGAUAGAUGACGACUUUACCUUUUCCAACUGAUAUAGAUCGACUCGAUGUGUAUAUCUUGAUCGUAAAAUGUACUACCUUAGUUUUGAGAUUUAAAGCAAACCAAGCAAACCCACACGUGUACAUUCUUUAACAUUACUUUUAGGGGCUGCCAAGCGAGUUUUACUCUUAGAUAGUACAUAUGAAGAGGAUUCUCUUACUUACUUCUAACUUUGAGUCACUAACAUGUGGGUCUACUGAGUAGAUGGCACACGUGUCAAUGGUAUAAGUUAAAAAUGGCAUAAGUUAAAAGGACGUAAGUUAGAGGAUCUCAAUCCAUAGUAUAUGUGGCUGCUCGGGCUUUAUGUCCACGAGUCUUUGGCCGACUGUCGUUUUGUGUUGGAAUACACGGUUGAUUUAAGUAGUUUCCGGGUAAGACAUUGAUCUUGUGUCAUGCCUGCUAGCUGCUCAUGGUUUACAUGUUGGAAUCAUGUUUUUAUAACAAAAUUGUCCCACUAAUUCGAUGAUAAUAAGUGGUUUUGUUAGGCUCGUCCAACGCUUUAGUAUUAUUCAUUUCUUCGUCGUGCCAAGUCAACACUCUACAGUGCCCCUAUGCUCGUAGUAGUAUAUGAGCAUGUUUAGUUCGCGAUCGAAAACUUUUGGCAUGUCACAUCGAAUAUACGGACAUACAUUUGAAACAUUAAACGUAGGCUAAUAACAAAAUAAAUUACAUAUUCUGCAUAGAAACUGCGAGACGAAUUUAUUAAGCCUAAUUAUUUCAUCAUUAGCAAAUGUUUGCGUAGCACCACAUUGUCAAAUCAUGGUACAAUUAGGUUUAAAAGAUUUGUCUCGUAAUUUACACGCUAUCAAUGUAAUUAGUUUUUUUUAAUACUCUAUGUACGUGUCUAAAUAUUCAAUGUGACAUGCUGAAAGAUUUUUGUUUGUGAACUAAAUAGAACCUAUAUGUGUUUGCAGAAGUUUCUUAUGUACUCCACUAUACACACUGUGUUGCCGGUUUUUGUUGGUUAGGAGUACAUAAGAAAAAGUGAAACUUGUCCUUGGAUUCUUGGAACAAGCCGACUGUCAUACACUCAAAAUUUAACAAACACAGCAGUACACUCUACUCGUGAUCCACUCUCGGUAAAAAUGCUACUAGUACCAAUCGAGACCGAAUUUCCCAUAAGAAAAAGAAAAAGAAAAUUGAACCUCGAAGAUGCAAAUAUGUAGUAGUACGUAGGUCCGUUCGAACUAGGUACUAUAUUCAGAUUUUAUGAUAGAUUUUGAAGGGCGUAAAUAAAUAGUUCAAAUUUUAAAAAUUUUAAAAAUUAAAUUCUAGCGAUAUAAGACAAUUAUAUAUAGAAAGUUUUUCAAAUAAGCACACGGAUUAGAAAUACUCCAUCCUUUUAAAAUAAGUUUAUUUUUCACCCAUCCCACACAUAUACCAAUAAAAAAAAGACUAGAAUAUUCCAACUUAAUUUAUUAAAUCCAAUAUAAUUAUUCCUCACUUUAUCUAUUCCUAUUACAUUUAUCUUUGCCUUUUAUAAACUUCUAUAUAAUAAUUACGAACAACAAAUUUAUUUUAGCAUAAAUAAAAGAAGCUCUAAAAAUAAACUCCUCAGGACAAAUACAGUGGAAGCGUGUCGGCGAUAUAUACAUAGUGCAGCAGUAUUUUUCUUCCCCAGUUAUUAUUAUUAUUAUUAUUAUUAAAACAAAAAAAAAGAGCGAAAGACACGGAAUAUUUUGAACCUCCUCGUAGUGCUCCCAGACGUGUUCCGACCGAUGAGGUUGUGGGGCCCAGCAAAUACGCGACGACGUCACCCCCUCUCGCAUACGCUACGUGUCCCCUUCCUCCGCGUGGGCCCCACUCCCCCCUCGACCGGACAGAGCAGCAGCAGCAGCCAGCGCCGCCUCCUCCCUUCAAAGCCUCUUCUUCUUCUCACUUCAUCAACAACCUCACCUCGCCUCGCCUCUUCUCGCGGCCAACGAGAGAGGGAGAGGGAGAGCUAGGACCACCGCCACUGCCUCGGGAAGUAGG
rnacentral:lncRNA from 1 species